CAGAGGGGGAGCCCCUUCCAGACCCCACUAAAAUGAGGGGAGUACUCCCAAUAAAUGACACAGAGACCACCAUUUAAUCCAUACCUGUAUUUCAAAACAUUUUCCAAGUGGGGCACAUCCCUACCCCGCUAUCCUCCCUUAUGUAUCCGCUAGUAUACGCCUCUACAGUGACAUUUCAUUUUUUUUAAGACUGGCUUCUCCAAGUUAUUUUUUUCUGGAUCAGGACAAAUCGCGAGAUAUACUCUUCUAGAGUGAGGCGACUACUAAGGUUGAUCAGUGAUGAUAAAAGUAAAAUGUAUUUACCGUGAGACAAUUAACAUAAGCUUUGUAGCUUUUGAGCGACCAUACAUUAUGAACAGUUAAAGCCAAUUAUACCUUACCCCCAGCAAUUUGCUGGACACAUGGCUUGGUCGACAGAGACAAUUGUGGUAAAGUUCCAUGCUCAAGGACACAUCGAAAUGGGAGCAGCUAUUGGUUCGAACCAGGGGGCCCUCACCUCCACAGGAAAGUGUCUAAGCCUUCUCGACCAAUCGAUGAUGAUGACUUGCUAGUUUUCACAAUAAUUUUCUGAACUUACCAGAAUUAUUCUGAAAACAUCGCAUCAAAUUAUUGAUUUCAAUAUAUGUUAUUUAUUUCCAGGAAACUAGGCUAUUGAGAUUAAUAGUUCAGAAAAGUUCGAAAUAUCAAGAUAAAUGCUGAAACUCUCGCGAAAGGUACCUUGCUAAUAAGUGGUAACUGUGGGCACUUAGGACCUACGGGAAAAUAUGUAAACUAUCGCAAUACUUCCAUGAAACGUUCGACUAUUGAGAUAAUCUUUUUUUAAGAAAACUUUAUCAAGGUAUUUCUAAGCAACGACCUAGUUAUCUCGUGGCAGAAAUAUACUUCUAUACAUCUUUCAUUGCUAUCUAUUUUUAUUAUCCUUGUAGGAUUUCCAAAUGUAGUCGGGGUAGUGGACGGUACGCAGAUCCGGAUUCAAGGGCCGACGGAACAUGAAGAAGAUUACGUAAACAGGAAAGGCUUCCACUCGAUAAAUGUUCAAAUGGUAUGUGACGCAAGAUUCAUGAUUUUGGAUGUUGUUGCAAAAUGGCCCGAAAGUAUGCAUGAUUCAAGGAUAUUCCGAGACAGCGAAGUGGGCGGGCGAUUAGAAAGAGGUGAGAUCGACGGUUUGUUGCUGGGGGACUCUGGAUAUCCCUGUAGAAAGUAUUUGAUGACCCCAUACCAUGCUCCACAAACACAAGCACAGGUACUCGGAUUUUAUUAUUUUUAUUCAACUCGUUUGAUAAAUUUAAUAUGAAAUGACACUCAUAUAAUACCCCACCCUCUUUCAUGCAGAUGAAAAAAUUCGAGUUGCUCGUUUUUCUGUGUUUUUCAGUACAACAUAAAAUAAGUACUAUUCCCAAAUAUGAUAUGUAUAAACAUAACUAUAGAUAGAUUUAAAUUCAACAUUGUUUUACCUUGUCAAUAUCUAAAUCUAUGUAGUUUUUGUACUAAUUACAAUUUAUGUUAUACGUAAAGCUUAUUGUUUACGGUCAACGGAUCUGUUGCUGUGUGGGUACGAAAGUCAUCGAUGACAGUCAAUUGUCAUUUGCAAUUUAGCAUCGAAAAUGCAGAUUUCUUUAUUGUAUUACACAACUACGGAGAAAUAUCUGAAGCCGAUAUGUCAUAAUAUUAUGGGUACUUUGGUAUAAUAUUAAAACAUAUAUUUUGCUCAAAUUCCAUUGAAAAAAUGCAGGCACCAUUGCAGACAC